UACAGAGGUCUCAAGCGUUGUUCGGAUUCAUUGGGCGUAAAGGGUGCGUAGGCGGCGCGGUAAGUCGGGUGUGAAAUCUUGGAGCUUAACUCCGAAACUGCAUUCGAUACUGUCGGGCUGGAGGCUGGGAGAGGGCAGCGGAAUUCCCGGUGUAGCGGUGAAAUGCGUAGAGAUCGGGAGGAACACCGGCGGCGAAGGCGGCUGCCUGGACCAGUCCUGACGCUGAGGCGCGAAGGCUAGGGGAGCAAACAGG
rnacentral:rRNA from 1 species